CACAUACUGCCAGCUGAAAUCCUAGGGGAGCUGGGAGCCCCUGUUAUUCCAAAAUGAUCAACAGCAGCAAAUCAAGGUGUUCCCUCGUGCCACUAGUAGAUGGAACAAAUAGGAGCCAUAGGUUAUCCUGUGUUCACUGUUUCCAGGCGUAAAACUCUUGAAUUAUUAACAACCCCGGCUCUAGAAAGGUAACGGAACUCUAGCUGUACUUGUAGUGACAAUAACCUAGAGCAAUACCAGAUGCUGACUUGUACUCAUGGAAGUAGCAAACUUUUGAACUUGAUCAUUUGAAUUUGAGAACCCUUUGCAUUUGGACAUGCUGACCUACUUGCCCUGGUGCUUAGGAUUAGCAGGA